AUUGAACGCUGGCGGCAUGCUUUACACAUGCAAGUCGAACGGUAACAGGCCGCAAGGUUCUGACGAGUGGCGAACGGGUGAGUAAUGCAUCGGAACGUGCCCAGUCGUGGGGGAUAACUACUCGAAAGAGUAGCUAAUACCGCAUACGAUCUAUGGAUGAAAGCGGGGGACCGUAAGGCAUCGCGCGAUUGGAGCGGCCGAUGUCAGAUUAGGUAGUUGGUGGGGUAAAGGCUCACCAAGCCAACGAUCUGUAGCUGGUCUGAGAGGACGACCAGCCACACUGGGACUGAGACACGGCCCAGACUCCUACGGGAGGCAGCAGUGGGGAAUUUUGGACAAUGGGCGCAAGCCUGAUCCAGCAAUGCCGCGUGCAGGAAGAAGGCCUUCGGGUUGUAAACUGCUUUUGUACGGAACGAAAAGGCUCUGGUUAAUACCCGGGGCUAAUGACGGUACCGUAAGAAUAAGCACCGGCUAACUACGUG
rnacentral:rRNA from 1 species